rnacentral:lncRNA from 1 species
AGCAGAUAAGGACUGAGCCAAUCCUGCCAGAAAUUCAUUUCCUAAAUAGAACUCCAGAAUCCUUGGAAAGCCUGCCCACUAGUUUUUCAAGUCCCCACUACAUCACACUGAAACCUGCAAGUAAAGAUUCAAGAGGAAUCGCAGAUCCCAAUCAAAGUGCCAAGUGAGCUUGAAGUUGGAUAUCCAAAAUGGCCGUGCAAGCUUAGGCUGGGGAUUCUGGAUGCAACGUCUUUACAACCUUACCUAGAUAUCUGCUACUCACAUUUUUGGUAGUGUUUCAAACGUUCUUUAUCCAGACAGACAAUGUUUAAGAGAAACAACUUAUUUCUGUUAAUAUUUACCGGUAGAAUUCACACCCUCUAUCAUAAACAUAUGCUGCAGAAAAAAAAUGUCUUGUGGUCUUUCAAAUGCUCUUUAGCACAAUAUAAAAAUUCGUAACCUUGCUGUAGUAUUUUCCUACAAAAUGUUACUCUGCUUUCUUUUAAGAAUCCAAACUUUAAGGAUGAUAACUUACAGUCUAAGAAGAAAACAUUGCAUAUAAAAAGUUACUUUUUUGGAAACAUAAAAGUACGUUUUAAAACUUGAACAUGACAUCAUUAGCACUAAUUCUGGUUUAAAUGAAAGUCCUGCAGAAAUGCCAAAGAAGGCAGGGCAGAGCGGCACGGAUUCUAGGUAAUUAAAAGUGAAAGAGGCAGAAGAAUAGUGGACAGAACUGCAGGAUAGUCCUUAAAAUAAUGGUGGUGGGAAAGGAAAACACAGAAUGCUCCUGGCAAUUCUAAAUUCCUAGGUUUGCCUUUCUAGAAUUCCUUAAGAAGCUGACAGAGAAAUCAGAGGGUUACAAGAAUUUCAGAAAAUUUACUCCAAGUGAGAGGACAUACUCACAACUCCUAUGAAGGGUUUCUAAGGUCUUUGUCCUGUGCAAUUUGACAAUGUGCCAUUUCUGUGCUGUCUCUGCCCUCUCCCUAUCCGUUUGUUAUGGGAUGGGGGAUUACCCUGGGAAUGAUUUCAGCUGCUUCUUACACAGAUGCCUCUCAAGGUGUUCUUUUGUGUCCUCUAUUUUCUUCUUGUGAACUGUUAAAGCUACAUGCAUUAUUUUUUUUCCAUUUACUGAAAUAAAGUUUUCAAGUUCUAAA